rnacentral:ncRNA from 3 species
GGUGGUGGUGCAUGGCCGUUC